rnacentral:rRNA from 1 species
UACAGAGGUCUCAAGCGUUGUUCGGAUUCAUUGGGCGUAAAGGGUGCGUAGGCGGCGCGGUAAGUCGGGUGUGAAAUUUCGAGGCUUAACUUCGAAACUGCAUUCGAUACUGGCGUGCUUGAGGACUGGAGAGGAGACUGGAAUUCAUGGUGUAGCAGUGAAAUGCGUAGAGAUCGUAAGGAAGACCAGUGGCGAAGGCGGGUCUCUGGAAAGUUCCUGACACUGAGGCACGAAGGCCAGGGGAGCAAACGGG